GGCGACCUGCACAGGUGCUGCAUGGCUGUCGUCAGCUCGUGUCGUGAGAUGUUGGGUUAAGUCCCGCAACGAGCGCAACCCUUAUCCCCAGUUGCCAUCAGGUAAAGCUGGGAACUCUGGGGAGACUGCCGGUGAUAAACCGGAGGAAGGCGGGGAUGACGUCAAGUCCUCAUGGCCCUUAUAGGUGGGGCUACACACGUCAUACAAUGGCUGGUACAAAGGGUUGCCAACCCGCGAGGGGGAGCCAAUCCCAUAAAGCCAGUCGUAGUCCGGAUCGCAGUCUGCAACUCGACUGCGUGAAGUCGGAAUCGCUAGUAAUCGUGGAUCAGCAUGUCACGGUGAAUACGUUCCCGGGUCUU
rnacentral:rRNA from 1 species